UUGGUCAAUGGGCGGAAGCCUGAACCAGCCAAGUCGCGUGAAGGACGACGGCCCUAUGGGUUGUAAACUUCUUUAGCAGCAGAGUAAUAAGGGGGUCGCGACCCCCGAUGCAAGUAUGCUGAGAAUAAGGAUCGGCUAACUCCGUGCCAGCAGCCGCGGUAAUACGGAGGAUCCGAGCGUUAUCCGGAUUUAUUGGGUUUAAAGGGUGCGCAGGCGGCUUGUUAAGUCAGCGGUCAAAUCGCGGGGCUCAACCCCGCUCCGCCGUUGAUACUGGCGAGCUUGAUUGUGGUCGAGGUUGGCGGAAUUCGUCGUGUAGCGGUGAAAUGCAUAGAUAUGACGAAGAACCCCGAUUGCGUAGGCAGCUGACCAGGCCACAAAUGACGCUCAGGCACGAAAGUGCGGGGAUCGAACAGGAUUAGAUACCCUGGUAGUCCGCACAGUAAACGAUGAAUACUUGUUUUGGGCGAUAGAAUGUCCGAGGCAAAGCGAAAGCGAUAAGUAUUCCACCUGGGGAGUACGCCGGCAACGGUGAAACUCAAAGGAAUUGACGGGGGCCCGCACAAGCGGAGGAACAUGUGGUUUAAUUCGAUGCUACGCGAGGAACCUUACCCGGGCUUGAAAGUUAUCGACUGGGGCUGAAAGGCCCCAUCCCUUCGGGGCGAGAAACUAGGUGCUGCAUGGUUGUCGUCAGCUCGUGCCGUGAGGUGUCGGCUUAAGUGCCAUAACGAGCGCAACCCUGUUCUCCAGUUGCCAUCAUCAGGUUGGGGACUCUGGAGACACUGCCAUCGCAAGAUGAGAGGAAGGAUGGGAUGACGUCAAAUCAGCACGGCCCUUACGUCCGGGGCGACACACGUGUUACAAUGGGGAGGACAGCAAGGAACGAAGCGGCGACGCUGAGGGAAUCUCGAAACCUCCUCCCAGUUCGGAUUGGAGUCUGCAACUCGACUCCAUGAAGCUGGAUUCGCUAGUAAUCGCGCAUCAGCCAUGGCGCGGUGAAUACGUUCCCGGGCCU
rnacentral:rRNA from 1 species